GACGAACGCUGGCGGCGUGCCUAAUACAUGCAAGUAGAACGCAGUGGCGAACGGGUGAGUAACGCGUAGGUAACUGCCUCAUAGCGGGGGAUAACUAUUGGAAACGAUAUCUAAUACCGCAUACUGUGAGAUGGCCCUGCAUGGUAUUAGGUAGUUGGUGAGGUAAAGGAGCACCAAGGCGACGAAACAUAGCAGAACUGAGAGGAGGAUUGGCCACACUGGGAGGGAGAAACGGCCCAGACGCAUUCGGAAGGCAGCAGUAGGGAAACUUGGGGAAUGGGCGGAAGUCUGAGCGCGAAAGGCCGAGUGAGUGAAGAAGGUUUUCGGGUCGUAGAGCUAUGUUGUUAGAGAAGCGGUAACUAAAUAGAAAGGGACGGCUAACUACGUGCCAGCAGCCGCGGUAAUAC
rnacentral:rRNA from 1 species